UCCGUAGGGUGCGAGCGUUGUCCGGAAUUAUUGGGCGUAAAGAGCUCGUAGGCGGUCUGUCGCGUCGGUCGUGAAAACUUGGGGCUUAACCCUGAGCUUGCGGUCGAUACGGGCAUGACUGGAGUUCGGUAGGGGAGACUGGAAUUCCUGGUGUAGCGGUGAAAUGCGCAGAUAUCAGGAGGAACACCGGUGGCGAAGGCGGGUCUCUGGGCCGAUACUGACGCUGAGGAGCGAAAGCGUGGGGAGCGAACAGG
rnacentral:rRNA from 1 species